AUUGAACGCUGGCGGCAGGCCUAACACAUGCAAGUCGAACGAGUGGCGGACGGGUGAGUAAUGUCUGGGAAAAUGCCUGAUGGAGGGGGAUAACUAAUGGAAACGGUAGCUAAUACCGCAUACCAUCAGAUGUGCCCAGAUGGGAUUAUCUAGUUGGUGGGGUAACGGCUCACCAAGGCGACGAUCCCUAGCUGGUCUGAGAGGAUGACCAGCCACACUGGAACUGCGACACGGUCAAGACUCCUACGGGAGGCAGCGUUGGGGAAUAUUGCACAAUGGGCGCAAGCCUGAUGCAGCCAGGCCGCGUGUAUGAAGAAGUCCUUCGGGUUGUAAAGUAUUUUCAGCGGGGAGGCGUUACCCGCAGAAGAAGCACCGGCUAACUCCGUGCCAGCAGCCGCGGUAAUUC
rnacentral:rRNA from 1 species